GGAAUUGAGACAAAGUGCUGCGCUGAGCGGCCUAGCCCGAGGCUACGCAGCUGGUGGAUGGAGCCACCAGGCGCUGUGCUGGCAGGCCUCACAGGCAGGCUUCCUCUCUGAGAAAUCUGAUGCUAGACAGAAGGGCAGGCAGGAGGCAUGGAACAAGAGAAGCAGGGGAAAAGCAGAGGAGGAGAGAGAAGCUUGUUCCUACAAAUGGCAGAGUCUACCAGAGGGAGAACCAGACUUACCUACUUCUGAGGGAGAGAAGACUGAGCAGGCCACCAGGAUUGCUUUUGAAUUCCAAACCAGCAAGGGACCUUUACUGAUUUACUUUUGGGUCCCUCAUGGUGUUUUACUCUGCAGUGCUGAGAUACUUUCUUGCUUUCCUUUGUAUAUUUACACUAUUAAAAUCAAACACUUGCAGUA